rnacentral:rRNA from 1 species
GACAGAGGUGCCAAGCGUUAGGCGGAAUCACUGGGCUUAAAGCGUGUGUAGGUGGAUUUGUAAGUACCUUGUGAAAUCCCAUGGCUCAACCAUGGAACUGCUCGGUAUACUGCGAAUCUUGAGCCACUUAGGGGCUACCGGAACAAAUGGUGGAGCGGUGAAAUGCGUAGAUAUCAUUUGGAACGCCAAUGGUGAAAACAGGUAGCUGGGAGUGAUGCUGACACUGAGACACGAAAGCCAGGGGAGCGAACGGG